rnacentral:rRNA from 1 species
GUGUCAGCAGCCGCGGUAAUACGUAGGGCGCAAGCGUUGUCCGGAAUUAUUGGGCGUAAAGAGCUCGUAGGCGGUCUGUUGCGUCUGCCGUGAAAACCCGAGGCUUAACCUCGGGCCUGCGGUGGAUACGGGCAGACUAGAGGUAGGUAGGGGAGAACGGAAUUCCCGGUGUAGCGGUGAAAUGCGCAGAUAUCGGGAGGAACACCGGUGGCGAAGGCGGUUCUCUGGGCCUUACCUGACGCUGAGGAGCGAAAGCGUGGGGAGCGAACAGGAUUAGAAACCCCUGUAGUCC